rnacentral:rRNA from 1 species
UCGAGAAUCUUCCGCAAUGGGCGAAAGCCUGACGGAGCAAUGCCGCGUGCAGGAUGAAGGCCUUCGGGUCGUAAACUGCUAUCACCGGGGAUGAAUAAUGACAGUACCCGGGGAGGAAGUCACGGCUAACUACGUGCCAGCAGCCGCGGUAAUACGUAGGUGACGAGCGUUGUUCGGAUUUAUUGGGCGUAAAGGGUUCGUAGGAUGUUUAUUAAGAUUGGUGUGAAAUCCCAAGGCUCAACCUUGGAACUGCAUUGAUUACUGAUGAACUAGAGUAUCGUAGAGGAAAGUUGAAUUCCAGGUGUAGCGGUGGAAUGCGUAGAUAUCUGGAAGAACACCGACAGCGAAGGCAACUUUCUGGGCGAUAACUGACUCUGAGGAACGAAAGCAUGGGGAGCAAACA